GCCUUUGUGGUGCAAUGGUCAGCACACUAGGCACGUAUACGAGAGAUCCGAGGUUCGAGUCCCGGAGAGGGCA
rnacentral:tRNA from 1 species